UACGUAGGGGCCUAGCGUUGUCCGGAAUUAUUGGGCGUAAAGAGCUCGUAGGCGGUUCGGCAAGUCGGAUGUGAAAUCUCCACGCUUAACGUGGAGGGGCCAUUCGAAACUGCUGUGACUCGAGUCCGGUAGGGGAGUGUGGAAUUCCCGGUGUAGUGGUGAAAUGCGUAGAGAUCGGGAGGAACACAUGUGGCGAAGGCGGCCCCCUGGGCCGGUAUUGACGCUGAGGCGCGAAAGCCAGGGGAGCAAACGGG
rnacentral:rRNA from 1 species